AUGCUCACUUCGGCAGCACAUAUACUAAUAUUGGAACGAUACAGAGAUAUGCAUGGUCCCCUGGGCAAGGAUGGCACACAAAUUCGUGAAUCCUUCUAUAUUUUU
ensembl:snRNA U6 U6 spliceosomal RNA